rnacentral:lncRNA from 1 species
UAUAAAUGGACUAUGCAUGUUUUUAUGGGAUAAACGAAAAAAGAAAAGUAUGCAUGUUUUUAUGAAAUGGAGGGGGUAUUUUUUAUAUAUAACUUAAAAAUGGACAUUUUUAUUUUUUUACUCGACUUUAGGUAAUGUUUUACAUUUUUCGUUCUUUUGUGUGUCUAUUUUUUUGUUGCUUUUUUUAUGAUACGUUUAUUUAUUUUUUGUAAAAUUUUCAUAGAAAAUAAUC